CCUACGGGUGGCAGCAGUGGGGAAUAUUGGGCAAUGGGCGCAAGCCUGACCCAGCAACGCCGCGUGAAGGAAGAAAGCUUUCGGGUUGUAACCUUCUUUUGUCAGGGACGAAGCAAGUGACGGUACCCUGAAAACAAGCCACGGCUAACUACGUGCCAGCAGCCGCGGUAAUACGUAGGUGGCAAGCGUUGUCCGGAUUUACUGGGUGUAAAGGGCGUGUAGCCGGGAAGGCAAGUCAGAUGUGAAAUCCGGAGGCUCAACCUCCGAAUUGCAUUUGAAACUGUUUUUCUUGAGUACUGGAGAGGCAGACGGAAUUCCUUGUGUAGCGGUGAAAUGCGUAGAUAUAAGGAGGAACACCAGUGGCGAAGGCGGUCUGCUGGACAGCAACUGACGGUGAGGCGCGAAAGCGUGGGGAGCAAACAGGAUUAGAUACCCGUGUAGUC
rnacentral:rRNA from 1 species